GGGUUGUGAGGUUAAGCGACUAAGCGUACACGGUGGAUGCCCUGGCAGUCAGAGGCGAUGAAGGACGUGCUAAUCUGCGAUAAGCGCCGGUAAGGUGAUAUGAACCGUUAUAACCGGCGAUUUCCGAAUGGGGAAACCCAGUGUGAUUCGUCACACUAUCAUUAACUGAAUCCAUAGGUUAAUGAGGCGAACCGGGGGAACUGAAACAUCUAAGUACCCCGAGGAAAAGAAAUCAACCGAGAUUCCCCCAGUAGCGGCGAGCGAACGGGGAGGAGCCCAGAGCCUGAAUCAGCAUGUGUGUUAGUGGAAGCGUCUGGAAAGGCGCGCGAUACAGGGUGACAGCCCCGUACACAAAAGCGCAUGUGCUGUGAGCUCGAUGAGUAGGGCGGGACACGUGGUAUCCUGUCUGAAUAUGGGGGGACCAUCCUCCAAGGCUAAAUACUCCUGACUGACCGAUAGUGAACCAGUACCGUGAGGGAAAGGCGAAAAGAACCCCGGCGAGGGGAGUGAAAAAGAACCUGAAACCGUGUACGUACAAGCAGUGGGAGCACCCUUCGGGGUGUGACUGCGUACCUUUUGUAUAAUGGGUCAGCGACUUAUAUUCUGUAGCAAGGUUAACCGUAUAGGGAGCCGGAGGGAAACCGAGUCUUAAUUGGGCGUUAAGUUGCAGGGUAUAGACCCGAAACCCGGUGAUCUAGCCAUGGGCAGGUUGAAGGUUGGGUAACACUAACUGGAGGACCGAACCGACUAAUGUUGAAAAAUUAGCGGAUGACCUGUGGCUGGGGGUGAAAGGCCAAUCAAACCGGGAGAUAGCUGGUUCUCCCCGAAAGCUAUUUAGGUAGCGCCUCGUGAAUUCAUCUCCGGGGGUAGAGCACUGUUUCGGCUAGGGGGCCAUCCCGGCUUACCAACCCGAUGCAAACUGCGAAUACCGGAGAAUGUUAUCACGGGAGACACACGGCGGGUGCUAACGUCCGUCGUGAAGAGGGAAACAACCCAGACCGCCAGCUAAGGUCCCAAAGUCAUGGUUAAGUGGGAAACGAUGUGGGAAGGCCCAGACAGCCAGGAUGUUGGCUUAGAAGCAGCCAUCAUUUAAAGAAAGCGUAAUAGCUCACUGGUCGAGUCGGCCUGCGCGGAAGAUGUAACGGGGCUAAACCAUGCACCGAAGCUGCGGCAGCGAACGUAUCACCCAAGACAACUUUACGGAGUUGACGAUUGACGGAGCGAAGCGACGUCAAAGCGUUCAUUAAAGUCGAGUUGGCUUAGGGAUACGUUCGUUGGGUAGGGGAGCGUUCUGUAAGCCUGUGAAGGUGUGUCGUGAGGCAUGCUGGAGGUAUCAGAAGUGCGAAUGCUGACAUAAGUAACGAUAAAGCGGGUGAAAAGCCCGCUCGCCGGAAGACCAAGGGUUCCUGUCCAACGUUAAUCGGGGCAGGGUGAGUCGACCCCUAAGGCGAGGCCGAAAGGCGUAGUCGAUGGGAAACGGGUUAAUAUUCCCGUACUUGGUGUUACUGCGAAGGGGGGACGGAGAAGGCUAUGUUGGCCGGGCGACGGUUGUCCCGGUUUAAGCGUGUAGGUGUGUGUUCCAGGUAAAUCCGGUUCACUUUAACACUGAGGCGUGACGACGAGGCACUACGGUGCUGAAGCAACAAAUGCCCUGCUUGAAAGCCUCUAAGCAUCAGGUAACACGAAAUCGUACCCCAAACCGACACAGGUGGUCAGGUAGAGAAUACCAAGGCGCUUGAGAGAACUCGGGUGAAGGAACUAGGCAAAAUGGUGCCGUAACUUCGGGAGAAGGCACGCUGACACGUAGGUGAAGUGAUUUACUCAUGGAGCUGAAGUCAGUCGAAGAUACCAGCUGGCUGCAACUGUUUAUUAAAAACACAGCACUGUGCAAACACGAAAGUGGACGUAUACGGUGUGACGCCUGCCCGGUGCCGGAAGGUUAAUUGAUGGGGUCAGCGUAAGCGAAGCUCCUGAUCGAAGCCCCGGUAAACGGCGGCCGUAACUAUAACGGUCCUAAGGUAGCGAAAUUCCUUGUCGGGUAAGUUCCGACCUGCACGAAUGGCGUAAUGAUGGCGAGGCUGUCUCCACCCGAGACUCAGUGAAAUUGAACUCGCUGUGAAGAUGCAGUGUACCCGCGGCAAGACGGAAAGACCCCGUGAACCUUUACUAUAGCUUGACACUGAACAUUGAGCCUUGAUGUGUAGGAUAGGUGGGAGGCUUUGAAGUGUGGACGCCAGUCUGCAUGGAGCCGACCUUGAAAUACCACCCUUUAAUGUUUGAUGUUCUAACGUGGACCCGUAAUCCGGGUUGCGGACAGUGUCUGGUGGGUAGUUUGACUGGGGCGGUCUCCUCCUAAAGAGUAACGGAGGAGCACGAAGGUUGGCUAAUCCUGGUCGGACAUCAGGAGGUUAGUGCAAUGGCAUAAGCCAGCUUGACUGCGAGCGUGACGGCGCGAGCAGGUGCGAAAGCAGGUCAUAGUGAUCCGGUGGUUCUGAAUGGAAGGGCCAUCGCUCAACGGAUAAAAGGUACUCCGGGGAUAACAGGCUGAUACCGCCCAAGAGUUCAUAUCGACGGCGGUGUUUGGCACCUCGAUGUCGGCUCAUCACAUCCUGGGGCUGAAGUAGGUCCCAAGGGUAUGGCUGUUCGCCAUUUAAAGUGGUACGCGAGCUGGGUUUAGAACGUCGUGAGACAGUUCGGUCCCUAUCUGCCGUGGGCGCUGGAGAACUGAGGGGGGCUGCUCCUAGUACGAGAGGACCGGAGUGGACGCAUCACUGGUGUUCGGGUUGUCAUGCCAAUGGCACUGCCCGGUAGCUAAAUGCGGAAGAGAUAAGUGCUGAAAGCAUCUAAGCACGAAACUUGCCCCGAGAUGAGUUCUCCCUGAGACUUAGAGUCUCCUGAAGGAACGUUGAAGACGACGACGUUGAUAGGCCGGGUGUGUAAGCGCAGCGAUGCGUUGAGCUAACCGGUACUAAUGAACCGUGAGGCUUAACCUUACAACGCCGAAG
rnacentral:rRNA from 1 species